rnacentral:rRNA from 1 species
CAAUAGCGUAUAUUAAAGGUGUUGCGGUUAAAAAGCUCGUAGUUGGAUUUCUGCCGAGGACGACCGGUCCGCCCUCCGGGUGAGUAUCUGGCUCGGCCUGGGCAUCUUCUUGGAGAACGUAGCUGCACUUGGCUGUGUGGUGCGGUAUUCAGGACUUUUACUUUGAGGAAAUUAGAGUGUUUCAAGCAGGCACACGCCUUGAAUACAUUAGCAUGGAAUAAUAAGAUAGGACCUCGGUUCUAUUUUGUUGGUUUCUAGAUCUGAGGUAAUGAUUAAUAGGGAUAGUUGGGGGCAUUCGUAUUUAACUGUCAGAGGUGAAAUUCUUGGAUUUAUGAAAGACGAACUACUGCGAAAGCAUUUGCCAAGGAUGUUUUCAUUAA